rnacentral:lncRNA from 1 species
UCUAAUAAGUUGCCUGGAUGCUGAUAUAUUCCCAGUAUGACGUUAUCUAGUUCAUUUGUUCUAUACAUGUGAAAACGUAGUCUCUCCAUUCCAUCUUGAAUUGCUUUGUAUUAUUUUCGAGGACCAAUAAGAUCAGAGUUUGGAUAUAUUUUGGUUGAUACAAAUAAUUAGUUACCAUACAAUUUAAGUGGCUGACGAAGCUACUAUACAAACUCACUUUUCUUAGCGUUGCAACUUGACUCUUAAAUAGGCCAUAGUAGCGGAUUUGAAAGAUUGAAAUAAACACUUGCCUACAAACAGAGAACUAUGUAAAUGGUUAAGGAGAUGACGAUGAACCAAACACGCUAAUAUCACUCUUGUUUAAGCUUAGGACCGCAUAGGAUGAAAACUGCACCUGGCUUAGGCUGUGAUUAAGUGUCAUGAGCCUAGUUCACCGAUUGAGAAAAAAUGUCAUGACGGCACCUAGUCUUCACGACUAGGUAAGCCUAACACAUUGCGGAAGUAACAACAUUUAUAAAAUUUAAAAUCCAAAAGCGAAAUAACAUGAAUAAUGUAUAUAGUUGCCCCCUGGCACAUACACUUUAACACUUUACAAUCUGGAACUAUCCCAAAGACUUGGAAACCCACGGGCAACAUAGGCUAAGAGUAAAACAUAACAUUGCUCUAAUCAUCCGGAAAAGUCUAUAACAAAGAAGAACAGAGUAGCAUCUAACCGACUAAAGGGGUAGAGUGUGAGGGAGACUCUCCAGCCUGCGGACGCGGCAGAUAUACCUCAAGCCUCCGAAAUGCUCCAUUUAUCUACUGAUAAUGCCCCUGCGUAGAGGUACCUGGAUCUGCACAUGAAAAACAUGCGCAGAAGAGGCGUGAGUACACCAGAUUAUCAGUGUACCGUAGUACACGAUCGAAAAGAAUGCAUUGCAUUCCAAUGUUAUGAAAAAGGGAACAAGGAGUAUGAAGGACCACAGCGGUACUCAGUAAGCGGUAUUCAAGAAGUGCCAACCUAACCUCGGUCGAGUAGUGACGAGGAAAGGUCGAGUCCCUACUGAGAUAAAAACAUAAUAAUCAAUAAAAUAAGAAAAAACCAUAUGGAAAUGAUGUACUGCGAGAAUCUAGCAAAAUAAUAAUUAAGACAAUAACCGAGAACUAACACAGUAAGUAAAUAAAAGUGCAAAUCACCACCGGAUAUCUGUCAUCAGGGGAUCUCCGGGUAUCCCGAGGAUCUCCUGGUAUCCUCAUCAUAUUCCCGAGUCCCGAGGAUCUCCUAGUAUCCUCUAUUUUACACAAGGGAUCUCUUAGUAUCCUGAGGAUCUCCUGGUAUCUUCCAUUUUGUAAUCAUAUCUGUGCCAGGGAUCCCUUGGUAUUCCGCACUUGUAGUCAUAGAACGAAACACAUACAAAGGAAGUUAGCGGGAUGCCGUCCCGCAGUACCAAUUCGUAAUACUACACAAUUCAAAUAAGAUAAGGUGCUAAGUAAGAACAAUUAAUGAAAUUUCUAGUCUAACAUGCUUCACGUAAGACAUGUAAUACAGUUGAAGCAAUUAAGCAAGUAAGUCAGCUAAACAUGUUUAUCCUAAGCUACACAGGUUAAAUUACAUUUAAAAUAGGCAAAUUUGCAAGAACAACAACAACAACAACAACCCAGUAUAAUCCCACUUAGUGGGGUCUGGGGAUGGUAGUAUGNNNNNNNNNNNNNNNNNNNNNNNNNNNNNNNNNNNNNNNNNNNNNNNNNNNNNNNNNNNNNNNNNNNNNNNNNNNNNNNNNNNNNNNNNNNNNNNNNNNNNNNNNNNNNNNNNNNNNNUAGAGAGGCUGUUUCCAAAUAGAACCCCGACAUCCUUCCCUCCAAGAACUUCCCACCUUGCUCUUGGGGAGACUCGAUCUCACAACCUCUCGGUUGGAGUGGGGGUUGCUUACCAUCAGAUUAACCCCUCUUGCAAGAAAACACAAUUAAAUAUUCUAAGUAAAACGGAUUUUCAACAACCAGCACAAGUACACGCUCGUCACCUCACGUACCGAGCAUUUAAAAUAACAGGUAAUAGAUCCAAAGGGGAGAGAUCCCUAUACAAAAUUAGACAAGUCACUUACCUCGAACCGGUGCAAAAAUCAAUAAGGUACGAUGCCCCUGCCACGAGUAUCCGACUUCGAAUGACCCAAAUCUAUUCAAACCAAUUACGUAAUGUAAAUAACAUCACAAGUAACUAAUUUCUCUGUUAAAAUUAAAGCUAAGGCGCCAAAAUGGGUAAAAUAACCAAAAUACCCCUCAGGCCAACGACUCGAAAUCGAAUAAUUUUCACAUUUUCAGAAACCUCGUGCUCUCACGAGUCUAACCAUACCAUAAUCUCCCAAAUCGGAGGUCAAUUGCCCUCUCAAAACUCAAUAAUUAAACCAAUGAACUUUCACCCAAAUUCUCCCAUUUUUUAUCCUUAAUUCAAAUUUAAAAGAGGGAUUUAAUGACUAAAUGAUGGGAUAUAACUAGAAAGGAUCAUAGAAAUGUCAUCCAGUAAUCUCCUCUUAGAAAUCCUCUCAACCUGUUCCACCUGCGAGGACCUCCGACAACUAUCGUUCAAACUCCCGUUCAGACUCGCGGCAGGACGUAAUAGAGACGCACAUUUUGCUAAGAUUCAGGAAAACUCGGGCGCAGCAAAGCACACUUCCAGCUUUCCCUUUUUUAUCCUAUACGCCGAUGGUCGAUUGGAAACAGCCUCUCUGCCCUUUCGGGCAGGGGUAAGGCUCGUCUACAUAUUACCCUCUCCAGACCCCACCUGGUGGGAAUAUACUGGGUAGUUGUUGUUGUUGUUGAGUUUAAAAGAUGGAUUUAAUUACUAAAUGAUGGAAUAUAACUAGAAAGGAUCAUAGAAACGUUACCGGUAAUCUCCUCUUUGAAAUCCUCUCAAAAUCGCCUACACCCGAGCUCCAAAUUGAAUUUUCCAACUUUUGAAAUUAAGUCUCGGAUAAUUAGUUACAAUACAAUUUAAGUGGCUGACGAAGCUACUACACAAACUCACUUUUCUUAGCGUUGCAACUUGACUCUUAAAUAGGCCAUGGUAGCGGAUUUGAAAGAUUGAAAUAAACACUUGCCUACAAACAGAGAACUAUGUAAAUGGUUAAGGAGAUGAAGAUGAACCAAACACGCUAAUAUCACUCUUGUUUAAGCUUAGGACGCAUAGGAUGAAAACUGCACCUGGCUUAGGCUGUGAUUAAGUGUCAUGAGCC